rnacentral:rRNA from 1 species
CCUACGGGAGGCAGCAGUGGGGAAUAUUGGGCAAUGGGCGCAAGCCUGACCCAGCAACGCCGCGUGAAGGAAGAAGGCUCUCGGGUUGUAAACUUCUUUUGUCAGGGACGAAGAAAGUGCCGGUCCCUGAUGAAUAAGCAACGGCUAACUACGUGCCAGCAGCCGCGGUAAUACGUAGGUGGAAAGCGUUAUCCGGAUUUACUGGGUGUAAAGGGCGUGUAGGCGGGAAAACAAGUCAGAUGUGAAAACCAUGGGCUCAACCUGCGGCCUGCAUUUGAAACUGUUUUUCUUGAGUACUGGAGAGGCAGGCGGAAUUCCUAGUGUAGCGGUGAAAUGCGGAGAUAUUAGGAGGAACACCAGUGGCGAAGGCGGUCUGCUGGACAGCAACUGACGGUGAGGCGCGAAAGCGUGGGGAGCAAACAGGAUUAGAUACCCUAGUAGUC